rnacentral:rRNA from 1 species
UAAUACGAGGGGGGCAAGUGUUGUUCGGAAUCACUGGGCGUAAAGGGAGCGUAGGCGGAUGCUUAAGUUGGAUGUUUAAAACCGGGGCCCAACCUCGGAGCGGCAUCCAAAACUGGGCGUCUUGAAUGGAACAGAGGCUAGUGGAAUUGGGGGUGUAGCGGUGGAAUGCGUAGAGAUCCCCAAGAACACCAAUUGCGAAGGCAGCUAGCUGGGUUCACAUUGACGCUGAGGCUCGAAAGCAUGGGGAGCAAACAGGAUUAGAUACCCUGGUAGUCCAUGCCGUAAACGAUGAACACUAGGUUUUGGACUCGUCAACGGUCCGGAGCCGCAGCUAACGCGUUAAGUGUUCCGCCUGGGGAAUACGGUCGCAAGACUG